rnacentral:tRNA from 2 species
GCCGGGGUGGCGGAAUGGCAGACGCAACGGACUUAAAAUCCGUUGGAGGGAAACUUCCGUGAGGGUUCGAGUCCCUCUCCCGGCA